CCACUUGGGGCAUGGCACAAUACCCCCUUCUCACUGCCAAUAUCCCCCCUCCAGUCUCCUUCCCUGCUGUGGCCAGGCCACGUGGAAACUCAUGCCAAAGAGUGUCAACCGGGAAUGUGUCUUCUUUCUUGAAAUACGUUAUGGAUCAGCAGGCAGCCCCCUCAAGACCCCAGCAAUGAAGCUCGCUUGAAGCUCGGCACACAGUAACCCAGAAACAUAUGUGAGACAGGAUUUCACCGUGUUGCCCAGGCUGGUUUUGAACUCCUGGAUUCAAACAAUCCUCCCACCUCGGCCUCCCAAAGUGCUGGGAUUACAAGCAUGAGCCACCACGCUUGGUCCAGAAGCAGUUUCAAGCUAAUUAGAUGGGGUCUUGCUGUGUUGCCCAAGCUGGUCUCAAAUUCCUGACCUUACGGGAUCCUCCUGCCUUGGCCUCCAAAAGUGCUGGGAUGACAGGUGUGAGCCACUGUGCCUGGCUGAAAACUUCCUAUUUCUAAUGUCUUUUGGAAAGUUACAAUCUCUUGUUUGAGUUUAAAAAAAAAGUUCAAUCAGAGUAGCCUUGGAUGUAAUAUUAAAAUUACAUAGCCUUUCUGGCUCCAACC